UGCUAUGCAAGAGCUGUUGUUGGGUCUACAAGUGGGUCCCAAAAUAAUAAAUCAAGUGGCAUCUGAUCCGCCAUUAGCUUAUCCACACCUUAGUCACUGACUCCUUUGAAGAUUUUUGCUUCCUUAACUUCUUAUGCUCCGACAAUUUAUCCAAUGCUUUGUUGUGUUCCUCAACCGCCUUAGUCAAGGCAUCCUACAUCGCAUGCAUCUUUUUCUGGUUGGCCAGGAUCUUCUUCGGCGUUUCCUCUAUUGAUGGAGGAAGCUCAACAGCAGCUGGUGCUCUCUGUGUCUGGACUAUAGUGGUCAAGCUGGACAACUUGUAUGUCGCAGGUGACAUCCCGUUGUAAAAACUGGCUAAGGAUUGAGUGAGCUGAUGGGCAGUGAACCGGUGAGUAUUUGAUGAAGGAACAAUCGGGUCCGCUGAAGUAGAUGCACUAGCAACAAAAUAAGGACCCUGGGGAAAUGUCUCACUAGUAGCAGGGAUGGUGGAAG
rnacentral:lncRNA from 1 species